rnacentral:lncRNA from 1 species
GAAUAAAGUAAAAUAUAUAUAAUAAUAAUCAAAUCGCACCAUCUCUGUAAUAAGUAAAUGUCUCUUUUUCUCCUGAAGUUGUCGGAAUUAUUCGUAAUAAGAUAUUGGCUACAAUUGAAAAGGUCUUAUCAAUAAAAUUUCCAUUUAUCUGCGAUCUAGGCAUAGGUAGCAAUCCAUUCUAUAACUCUUUUCAUUACCCCUCGUGAGAAAAUAAAAUGAUCUCACAAACAAAGGAAGUGUACAGUACGAAAUAACAUAAAAGUAGACCCAUUCCAUUUUUAAAAAAUUCUUCGAGCCCAGAGGCUAAAGAAAAAGUGAUAAAAAAAGUGAUGAAUAGUUUUCUAUUUUUAUAGCAAGUUUCCUAGUUAGAAUUGAUAUUGUUCGUACCUAUCGAACAAUCUAAUAUGAAUAACUCGCUAUUCGCUCGGGGUGUCGGCCAUAAUAAUUAUGUAGGAGAGAUGGCCGAGUGGUUCAAGGCGUAGCAUUGGAACUGCUAUGUAGACUCUUGUUUACCGAGGGUUCGAAUCCCUCUCUUUCCGCACCUUCACCUAAUUCGCCGAUGUAACUGACUACAAUGUAUCAAAUAAGAACAUAUACUAAAGAAUUAGACCCUUCUUUAGUAUAGAUUCUCUAUUCCCAAUUCCUUUUUAAUAUGGAAUACGUAAAAUAGCAUACAGGGGAUGAAAAUCUCCUUACGUAUCUAUCAUACAUGAAUAGGAGAAAAAUCUCCGAAUCAAACCCAUUCCCCUGUCUUCCUUUACUUAACCUCAACUUGUAUAUCUUGUUUGGAUCUAUUGGAUAUAUAUAUAAGUAUAAGGAAUUAAACACGGAUUCUAUUUUUAGAUAAUGUCUUAUCUUGGUUUUGUUAUAAUGUUAUAACGAAUAUUUAUUUUGUUUUUUAUCAUAUUCAUAUCAGAUUCAGAUCGACAAAAAUUGAACAAUCAAAUAAAAUUAAACUCAAAUUUUCGCGGGCGAAUAUUUACUCUUUUUCUAGUUCAGUUGUCGGGUUAACCCAUGACCUCUCAGAAUCAGAAUAAAAAGAAAUGCAGUGGUCUCUGGUUUGUUCCGCCAUCCUCCCCGAGAAAUCAUUAGGAUUCGUUUUCAAUAGAAUCCUCCGCAUUCACGGGUUCCGUCGUCCCCAUUGCUCUCGAUUAAUGCUAAGGUCUGAAUUCUCCAAUGGAGCCUUAAUUUAAAAUUUAAAAUUUAAAAUUAUUUAAAAUUUCUAUUUAUUUAAUAAAAUAAAAAUAAAAUUUCUUCUUGAGUCAACCUUCUCAGUCUUUAUUGACUUAAGUUAAGGCUCUUGAUUUUUUCUUCAAUGAACAGAUAUUCAUCAAUUUGGCGUACAAAAAAACUUUUUGAAUUCCCCGUAGAAAGAGAUUUGGCUAAUGAAAAAGCUUUCAAGGCCACCCAAUAUCCUUUCUUUUUCCAAACAUUUUUUCGAAUACGCUUUUUUGAUGUAGAAGUACGUUUUUUUGGAACUGCCAUUCAAAAAAAAGUUAUUCAGUGCUAUAGUUGGAUGUCAAAGACAUCUAUUUUUAAAACAAAACGAUCGGUCUUUUGAUGUCAUUAUUUAUCUAUUCCUAUAGAUUUUAUAAAUUAUAAUUAUAUAUAUACUACAAUACAAAUUGCAUAAAAAUGAAUAGAGAUGGGAAAAUCGCAUAAAAUGCUUCUAUUCUAGAACAAAAAAACAAUAUGAUAUAACCCCUUUUUUAUUUAUAUUCCAUACACUAUCCAGAAAAAAAAAAGAAGAAUUUGUAUUUAAUUUAUUGGUACCUUUCUUUUUUAUAUCUCCAUUCAAAUCUAUAGGAUAGAAUAGGAUCUAUAUCUAUUAUGAUAUAUAAAUCGAAUUGAUGAAAUCAAAAAAACGCAAAAAAAGUCUUUCUUUUUCUAUCUCCGCCCAGUUUUUUGUUGUCUUACAUUUAUAAUUUAUACAUCUCCAUUUAUACAUGAAAACUACAUCAAAAUAAAAAGUGUAAAACCCAUUUUAUCUACCUAUGCAAACUUGAAUUUGAUUUUUUUUUCCAUAAAUUGUUAAUUGGUCAAGCUCGAAGAGAGGGUAUGCCUAAUUUUCAUUUUCAACCAAAUUCGAAUGAGAGUCGUAGUUAAUCUGUUAAAGGAUAUGAAAAAAAAGAAUAUUUUAUUAUAUUAAUAGUCAUUUUUCUUUUAAUUAUAUGUAAAUAUAAAGAAAAUAUCGGAUAGUCUUUCCUACAAGAAAAGGUUCAUUUAUUGUAGUGGAAGACAAUCAAUCAGUUCCGCGAUGAAAAUGAACUAGUUAAUAAGUUCGAAUAAACAAACUCAAAUAAUUCGUUUUUCUUUUAAGUUCUAGGACAUCCUAUGAUUUAUAUCAUACUUUUGGGGGGGGAAUUCUUUGUAUUUUUGAUCGAUGUAUCUAACUUAUUGUAAAUAGAAAUUAUUGUAAUAUGUAAUAAUAAAUAAUAAUUGAUAUUUUCAGAAAAAUAUUACUAUAAUGAAAAAAAGAAUUCUUUUGUUUUUCAUUAUAGUAACUCGGCGAGAUCAUUUGAUUACUUCUAACUUCGAAAUUUGAAUAUUUUUGAAAUAGUUGCGAAAGAUUAAAAAAUUAAGAAUAGAAAAUUCCAGUUAACUUUGUAAUCUCUCGAUUUUUUUAUUGCUCCUUUUCAAUCAAAAGAGAUAAGAGCCGGUGAAUCAGAAACAAUUAAUUAAGAAAGAAUAACAAAAAAGUUUUUAUGGAGCAUGCAUAUCAAUAUUCAUGGAUCAUACCUUUUGUUCCACUUCCCAUUCCUAUUUUAAUAGGAAUGGGACUCCUACUUUUUCCGACGGCAACAAAAAAUCUUCGUUGUAUGUGGGCUUUUCCCAAUAUUUUAUUGUUAAGUAUAGUUAUGAUUUUUUCGCUCGAUCUGUCUAUUCAGCAAAUAAAUGGAAGUUCUAUCUAUCAAUAUGUAUGGUCUUGGACCAUCAAUAAUGAUUUUUCUUUCGAGUUUGGCUACUUUAUUGAUUCACUUACCUCUAUUAUGUCAAUAUUAAUCACUACUGUUGGAAUUUUUGUUCUUAUUUAUAGUGACAAUUAUAUGUCUCAUGAUGAAGGAUAUUUGAGAUUUUUUGCUUAUAUGAGUUUGUUCAAUACUUCAAUGUUGGGAUUAGUUACUAGUUGUAAUUUGAUACAAAUUUAUAUUUAUACUUCUUUUCACAUACGAAAAUAUGAAAUUCAGACUCAUGUGACAAGCCAAGGUCCUGAAAGAAUCACUAACGAAAUACCGCACCUAGAAGCCCAUUUACUCCGCAAUUUAGACAAAAAUGGAAUUGUGAUGCUGGGAUCUUGUAACUAUAUUGUAUUAUAAUUCGAUCAUAUAGAUUUAUUUUAAACAUAUAGAAUAUAGAUUUAUUUUAUAGGUAUCCGUUUGUAUCCAUUUGAUUCGAUUGACUUUUGCUUGAGCCGGAUGAUGAAAAAUUAUCAUGUCCGGUUCCUUUGGGGGAUGGAUCUAGAAAAAUUCACCUAUCCUAAUAACAAAAAAACCUGACUUGAACGAUCCUGUAUUAAGAGCUAAAUUAGCUAAAGGUAUGGGUCAUAAUUAUUAUGGGGAACCCGCAUGGCCCAAUGAUCUUUUAUAUAUUUUUCCAGUAGUAAUUCUCGGCACUAUUGCUUGUAACGUGGGUUUAGCGGUUCUAGAACCUUCAAUGAUUGGUGAACCCGUGGAUCCAUUUGCAACUCCUUUGGAAAUAUUACCUGAAUGGUAUUUCUUUCCUGUAUUUCAAAUACUUCGUACAGUACCUAACAAGUUAUUGGGUGUUCUUUUAAUGGUUUCAGUACCCGCGGGAUUAUUAACAGUACCGUUUUUGGAAAAUGUUAAUAAAUUCCAAAAUCCAUUUCGUCGUCCAGUAGCGACAACCGUUUUUUUGAUUGGUACUGCAGUAGCCCUUUGGUUGGGUAUUGGAGCAACAUUACCGAUUGAUAAAUCCCUAACUUUAGGUCUUUUUUAAAUUGAAUCCUUUGAAUCCGGUACCGGCGGGUAUCAUACCCCCAAGCACAACGUUUUCUUUCAGGCCUUUCAACCAAUCUUUCUAACUAAGAAUAGCAAGCAAUCAAAAUGAAACCUUUUUCUGUUUUUUCUGUCUUAUCGCAUCCAUUUUCUUUGAAUUCUAUUUGAAUAUUGCUCGUGUAUAAAAUAGAAAUUCGUUGAUUCGAUAUAUUUCCAAUAGAUUCUUUUUUUUGUUAUACUCUAGUCAAUCAAAUCUGUUGAAUUAUUGUUCAUAUUAAUAAUGAAUCGAAAAGGAGUUGGUCAAUGAUGCUCGAACAUAUACUUGUUUUCUUUCAACGAGAUAGUGCUUUUUCAACUCUCUCAAAACGGAAUCUAUUCCAAACAUAUAUGCCAUGGUUCCUUACUUCGACAGGGUACAAAUAUCUAAAUUUGAUAUUUUUAGAUACUUUUUCAGACCUAUUGCUGAUACUAAGUAGCAGUCAAAAAUUUGUAUCCAUUUUUCAUGAUAUUAUGCAUGGAUCAGAUAUAUCAUGGCGAAUUCUUCAGAAAAAAUUGUCUUCCACAAUGGAAUCUGAUAAGUGAGAUUUCGAGUAAGUGUUUACAUAAUUUUCUUCUGUCCGAAGAAAUGAUUCAUCGAAAUAAUGAGUCACCAUUGAUAUCGACACAUCUGAGAUCGCCAAAUGUUCAGGAGUUCCUCUAUUCAAUCCUUUUCCUUCUUCUUGUUGCUGGAUUAUAUAUAUAUUAUUGAAAGUUAUAUAUAGAUAUCUAUAUAUAUGAUAUAUAUCUAUGAUAUAUAUACAUAUAUAUAUGAUAUAUAUUAUAUAUUAUCUAUUAUAUCAUAUCUAUAUAUAUCUAUAUGAUAUAUAUGAUAUAGAUAAUAUAUAUGAUAUAUAUAGAUAUAGAUAUAGAUAUAUAGAUAUCUAUAUAUAUGAUAUAUAUGAUCUAUAUAUAUAUGAUAUAUAUAUAGAUCAUAUAUAUCAUAUAUAUAUAGAUAUAUAUAUCUAUAUCAACAAGGUUCAACAUUAAGAAAUUCGAUGACAUCAAAAAAUUCAAUGUGUGGCAAGUUUGGGUGACGAUAAUUAUAAUUCAGAAUGGUUUGAAAAAGAUCGUUUCCUAGAAAAAAAUUGAUACUCUAGAUAAGUUAGAAUGGGAAGAGCUUGAUGAGGAGACCCUAAUUUAUAACAGAGAUAAACUUUCAUUCGAGGGUGUGAAGGGUCAUAUGUUAAGUAAAGACAAACUCGACAAUGAGUUUGGUUUGGAUAUCAAGUCAGAUAGGAAAGCCUCGAUUUUAGUAGCAUCAAAGAAGUGAGACAAGAGAUGUCACUAUUGUAAGAAGUUAGGUUAUGUCAAGGCAGAUUGUUACAAACUGCGAAAUAAAAGGGCUAUUGAGAGCAACGAGAAAGAUUUAGCUGGUGCUAAUUUGGUCGAUGACAAGAGUGAUGAUUUCUUAUUGAUGCCAACAAGUGAAAGCUCCAAACUUACGUCCAAGUGGAUCCUAGAUUCGAGGUGUUCUUUCCACAUGUGUUCUAAUAGGGGCUGUUUCUCCAAAUACAAUUCAGUUGAAGGUGAAGUUGUGCAUAUAGGGAAUGGUUCACCCAGUAAGGUAAUCGAUAUUGGUACUGUUCAGAUCAGGAUGCACGAUGGGACAAUCAGGUCACUACCAGACAUCAAGUAUGUACCUAAUAUAAAGAAAAAUCACAUCUCCUUGGGAAAUUUAAACUCGAAGGAUUGUAGAAUUAACAUCGAGUCAAGCGACAUUAAGGUAUCUCGUGGGGCUCUUGUUUUGAUGAAAGGUAAAAGGAUUGAUAGUCUUUAUGUUCUGAAAGGAUCAACAAUAACUGGUGAAACAAAACGUCCCUCAUUCGUUAAAGAGUCGAAGUUAGCUCGUUUGAAGCGGAGGUAACUUGGUCAUAGGAGAGAAAAUAUAUGACAGUUUCAUAUAAGAGAGGUUCUUUUUUGGGUGCAAGUUUUGAAAAGAUAAGGUACUACAUUCGUGGAAAUCAGACCUGGGUCAAUUUUGAUUUGGUAUUGAACAAGUCGAAGACUAGAAAUCUUUUAGCUUUAAAGUUCAAGUACAAAUUUGACUCAGUUAAUACAAGUUCAAGUACAAAUACGAGUCAGGGUGAAGAUUUGUGGAGUUUGCCCCGUAUUUCGUUAAAAUUAAGACACAAUUAGAGAAUGAUGUCGUAACAAAGAGGAGCUCUUCGUACCAACGAGCUGCAGAUGUCACAAUGAGAAGAAGACCGUCAUCCCACCGACGCGACACCACCUCAUCUCGAUGACACAAAUUCCACGUUACAAUGUGGCAACGUGUCAUACAAUUUUCUUAGUUUUUUUUCUCCCAGUUAAACUGAUUAUUUGUUUCAGUCAAACUCUAAUUAGUAUAGAUUAUUUUAAUAUUAUUUGACCUACGAAAUUGAAUUUUGUGUUUAAGUUAGGUUCUUAUUUUCAGGUUUGAAGGUUUAGUAUUUAUCUUCAUCUUUAUACUCUUCUUUUUUUGUCGUUACAAUGAAAUUAUCUUGGUUCGCGAUUUUUUAUCCUAAUUUGAAGAGUUUUUUCCAAGUAAAUAUUUGUGUUCGAUCUUUUCAAUUUUCUUUGUUAUUUUAGUUGUUCUUUACUUAAUCUGGUUUAUUCCCAAGAAAAAAAAACUAAUGCAAAUUUUUUUUGAAGGACUAUAAAAGUUAGGCAGGAAAAACAUAGUGGUCUCUCCCUGAAGCAACAGAAACAUUUCUCAUAUCUCAAUUCUCAUGCAUCGCAUACUCACUUUCUUAUACUUCAACAUAUCCAUGCUCCACUUCGUACAACAAUCAAUUCUUAAAACCCAACAGCUCGGCCACUUGGAUUCAAAAUCCAUCCUUGCUGCUCAAGGUGUAAGUCACCCUCCAUUGACUUAAAUGGAAGUUCAAGCCUUAAAAUUGGGUCUCCCAUAAUCGUGGUUGAAGCACUCAUGAUGGUUAAGGCUGCAACAUUAGUUUCAUGUCUCAGAGUUGAUUCUGACCUCGUCAAGCUUGGUUAUGUUGGAAAGGGGCAUAAUACCAAUAAAGGCCUAUUUCCGUAAAUAAAUAGGCCAUUUCUAAAAAUAAUUAUGGUUAUGAACUGAAAACUCAAAAACGCGCUGACUUGGAUGCGUUUUCAGAGGAUAAUCCAGACAAACGCUUGAACAUCAGUGCCUUUUUCCUUGUGUUAGCAAAACAUGAACGUAGAAGUGCUUUUGCUUAUACUCGAACUAAUUUUUAAAAAAAAUCAUUUUUUAAAAAUAUUACAAAAAUAGACCAAAUUUUUGAAAAUUUACGAGAAUAUAUAAAGACCCAAAGUGGUAGCAUCAUUUUUUUUUGGUGCCACCAGUUAAUGUGGAAAUAAAACUUACAAAAUAAAUCUUUAUAUAGACCCAAAGUCUUAUUUUUCUUGUUUUUUUAAGCAAUGUGGGAUAUAAGAUAUGUGUAUAUAUAGAUCCAUGAAUAGGUUUGCAGAUUGUUCCUAAACAAUAUGAGAUUCGUGCCUCUUUUAACUAAAAACAUAAGAUUAAAUGCUACAUUAUAUUUUAUAUUUUUUUACAAAACAUUUCUUUUUUUUAUAUAUUUUGUUAACAUUUUCUCGUAUUAUAAAAUUAUCUUUUGAGAUCUUUAAUCUUGUUACAUUUUAGAAUUGUUAACAUAUACAAAAGCGCUACAAAAAAGGGAAUAAAUUGCACAUAUGAAACUUAUACAUGCAGUAAUAUUCUAUUCAAUUUUAAAUGUUUUAAGUUAAUAUCCAUGCAAUUUUAAUUUUUAAAAUAAUUUUCCAUUAUUUCAAUUUAGAAGUUAUACUUUUAAUUUUUAUUUAUUUAUUUUGUAAUGGCCUAAAUUCAAGGUUAUCGGAAUAGUGGUUUCGUAACCACAAAUCCUAUUUAAAGAGAAAUUUAUUUCAAUAUUUUUGCAUGAAAAUUGAUAUGAUAGGAAAAUCGUAUGAAAAUAUUGAUAAAAAUUUUUUACCGAUUUAGUGGCUACUUAGAAAAAGAAAUAAUUGAAGAAAUUGGGUAAAAUAAGAUAUCGGGACCUCUAUCUCGUAAGAUUGAGUCGAAAAUAAUUUUAUAAAUAUUUAUGAAAUGUUAGUAAUGUGGUAUUAAAAUUUCGUUAGGAAAUUUUAAUGUUUGGAUAGUUAAUUAAAUGAAAAUGACUAAAUUAUAAAAGGUGUAAAAGUGGAUGGGAUGAUUAAAUAGCUUAAGUGUCUAAUGAGAGAGGAUUUAAAAGGAAAUUAGACCCAAAAUUUAUUUGGGCUGGACGGCAAGGGCAUGAAAUCAGCAGGAAAAUUGAUAAAUUAAGGGCAAAAUUAGAAUAUUGCAAAAUUAACUAAAUAAAGCUAGGACUAAAUAGGAAAUAUCUAGAUUUCUCUUCAUUUAUCUUCAAUUCCAGCAGCUAAAAACGCCAUAGGAGGGUUCUAUAAGCUGUUAUUUCAUAAUUUUUGCACCAAGUGAGUUAAUCCUUGCCUUUUUCUUGUAAUUUUUGUAUUUCUAAGACUUUUACAACUAGGUCCUACUAUUAAAUUCAUUAGUUUUUGAUUUCAUGGAUGAAAUUGAAAGUCACCAUGGUUGAGUGCUGUAAGUUUAUGAUGAAAUAGAAUGAAAUUAAAGCUUUAAUUUAUUUAAGAGAUGAUUUUAUUAGGUAAUUUUAAUAGAAAUUGAUUUUUAGGACCUGAUUGUGAAAAUGUUUGGAAUUAAAGUCUAUUGCUGAAAUUUUGAUUCCUAAAGGUUGUAAACUAGUUUAAGGUGAUAGAAUAAAGUGUUAAUUGAGAAAAACCAGCUCAAUUGAGAGGCUAAUUGAGUAGGGACGAAAUUGUUAUUUAUUAAAAGCUUAAGGGAAAAAUGGUAAUAAACAGCUUGCACUAAAGCAAUAUUGGACAGCAGCAGUAGACUAACUUUGAAAAAUCACCAUAAAUUGUAGGAAUAGAAUUAUAAGAUGAACAAAAUAUAAAAUUAAAUUUUAUUGAGUCUAGUUUCUCAUAGAGGAAACGAUGUAAGUAAUGGAUCUGUAAAUCAUGAGAUAUAAUGAAUGUUGUGAGACAAUGUCAGAAUGAAUUCGAGUUCCCCUGUUCUGAGUUUGAAAAAUCAUAAAAAAUUUAAUAAAAAUAAUUAAGGGCUUAAAUUUAUAUGUAUAGAAUCUUUAAUUAGUCUAUUUUCAAGAUAAAUAAACGGGAACAUCAUCCGAAUUCUGUAUGAAGAGAUAUUAAUUUUUAGUGAAGAAGGGUCAGAACUGUCAGACAGCAGAAUAGGGGUGACUUUAAAGAAUAAACUGUACUUAUUGGAUAAACCAAAAAUUAUGAAAAUUUUAUGGUAUGAAUAUAUAUGAGUCUAGUUUCAGGGAAAAUUUAUGGAUCUUAAUUUGGAGUUUUGUAGCUCGAGUUAUAAAUAAUUUAGUGACUAUAAUUCAAAUAGACAACUUUGAAUAAACUAUAAAUAAUAAUAAUGAAAUUAUAUAAAUUGUUGUAUAUGAACAUGAGAUGUAUUAAAUUGAUAAUUAAAUUUAUUUAUUUAGAUCUAGAAGAUUCAAAUACGAAGCUAGAUCGAGAAAAGGAAAAAGUUCAGGAUUAGUAGAUUUUUGUACACGAACAAGUAUCAAGGUAAGUUCAUGUAACUUGAAUUAUAUUCUUAAAUGCUUGAAAUGUAUGUUAUUGAUGUGAAUAUGAUUUGAAAGUUCAUUGUAUGAAAAUUUAUGAAACAUUGAUAUAUUUGAUAAAAAGGGGAAGAAAUCCCGGUUGAAUGAAAGGAAUUUCGAUGGAUCUCUAAAAAGGAAUUGACGGUAAAAAGGAUCUAGCCCAGACGGGUGAUCCUAUCCUGAUAUAGCCCUCACAAAGAAUAUGUGAAAAAUAGAUUUAGCCCGGACAGGUGAUCCAAAUUAAGGUCUGAAUUUAGCUUGGACUGGUAAUUCAGAUCCAAGCUCAUUAGAGUAAUUGUUGUUGCAGGGGAUUAUUCAGAUCCAAGCUCAUUAGAGUAAUUGUCGUUGCAGGGGAUUUAGCCUGGACUGGUAAUCCCAACAAUACUCUAUGAGUUUAUAUUACAGGGGAUUUAGCCUGGACUAGUAAUCCCGCUGUAAGGAUGAGGUUCGCUGGAGUGUGCUCUCUGGAAUGGAAAUGUGCGCACAUGAAUAUGAAUUGACGGACCCGGAAAUGUACACUAAAAGUGUACCUCUGAAAAUCCAUCAAAAAUUCCAAGAAAUUCAAUGGGAUAAAUAUGAAAAAAAAAUAUAAGGAAAUGGAAAUCAUGUUAUUGAUGAGCUCAUCAAUCAUAGUAUAUAUUAUUGGUACAUGCAAAAUUAUUGUACUAACUUGAAUGUUGAGUUUGUGCAUGUUAGAGUAAUAAUGCAUUGAAUGGAUAUAUGAAUGUUUAUUGUAUUGUAUUGAAAAUAUUCAUAAGUAUAAUUCUUGUUACAUGAGCUUACUAAACACAAAGUGCUUACCCUAUUUCCUUUUCCCCUGUUUUGUAGUGUUAAAAGCUCGGAGGUCGGAUUUGGUCGGAGACACAUCACACUAUCAACCUCAGCAUUUCGGUAUAUAAAGAAACUUUAUUUUGGAAAUCAAUGGCAUGUAUAAGCUAAUAAAGUAAAUGUUAACGUGACAUGAAUGUAAAGUUAGCUAUUAGUAUGGUUAACAAACCUGGUUUUGGGUAUGUGAUGACGUUAUCUUAUAAAUAUGCAUAAAUUUAUCUUGAAAAUAUGUUGAAUUGGUUUUGUUGAUGUGGAUUGGUCUCGAUUUAAUAUUGCAGGGAAGGUUAGAUAUUUAUAAAGGGGCUAUAUUGAAAUAAAAAAAAUUAUAAACUCCGGUAAUACCUCGUACCCUAUUCCGGCAAUGAAUACGGGUAGGGGGUAUUACAUAUUUUAUUUUAUGUUAUGAAUGUUUGAUUAAUAAAUAAAUAGUGAGUAUUUAGUACUCAGAUAGUAUUUUUUUGUAAUUUUAAAAAAAAUUUGAUAUUUUUUAAAAUAUUUUACUAUACUCAUUAAUUUUUUAAUCCUAAUUUUAAUUUAAUUUUCAUCACCUAAUGAAUGUUGAUAAAUAUAUUUCAGAUGUAUUUUGACUAGAUAAAUAAUCUAUUUAAACAUGGCAUAUAAUUAUGUUAAAUAAGUAUUUUUAUAGAAAUAUAUAAUAUACAUAAAGUAUAAUAAUUAUUUUUCAUAUUUUUAUAUCUAGAUUAAAUUACAUUAGUAGUCACUUAAUUAUGAUUUAUAAUGUAACAAAUGUUAACUUUUUGUAAAAAAAAUUAAAAUAUGUAAAAAAUAUAAAAUUUAGUGUAGCAUUUAAUCUUAUAUUAUUAGUUAAAAUAGGAAGGGAUCUUGUAUUGUCUAGGAAAAAGCUGCAAACCUAUUCAUGAGUCUAUAUAUACACGUAUCUCACAUCCCACAUUGCUUGAGAAAAUAAAGAAAAUAAAACUUUGGGUUUAUAUAAAUAUUUGUUUUGUAAGUUUUAUUUCCACAUUAAUUGGUGGCACAAAAAAAAUGGUGCAGCAACUUUGGGUAUUUAUAAAGGUUUAUUCUCGUAAAUUUUAAAAACAUGGUCUAUUUUUAUAAUAUUUUUUAAAAAUAAGCAUUUUUGAAAAUUUAGUCUGAGCACGAACAAAAGUAAAUUCAUGUCAACGUACUUUUUCCCGACACAAGGAAAAAAGUGUUGACAUAAAAAUAUUUUUUUACGUUAUGCCCUGAAAAUGCGUUCACAUCAGUGUAUUUUAGUGUUUAUAGUCCAUACCUGUUAUUAUUUUUUAGAAUGACCUAUUUCCGUAAAUAAUUAAAGUCAGUGUUUUUAAAAGUGUUGCAGAAUUGUUUCAAAAAAAACCCAGAAUUGUUUCCUUAUGAUAUUGAAUCCUGUUUGGAUAAGCAUUUAAUAUGAAUUUUGGAUAUAGAUAUUUCAAGAAAUUCGUAGAAUUAAAGCAGUAUAGUAAAAUGCUGAUAUAUGAAACCUUAGGCCUAACCUGGCCCCGGUUCAUAAAUACCUCUAAUGUAGAGGAAAAAUAAUUUAAAGUUUCUACCAUGUAAGGGAAAAUGCCUAAUAUAAAGCAGCAAACUCAGUCUCUACAAUGAUAUUAAUUCUGGUGGGUAGGUUUAGUAGUCAAACCAAAGCCAAAGGGAAAGAGAGGGUCAUAAUGUGGAUCACCGACAUUCAUUGGAAGCUGGUCAACGGUCUUGAACCAUGUCCUUGCGAGCUUGCCAGUGAACCCGUAGUCACCAAACAAGACAUCAGCAACACCUUGGCCCUCGGUCCCCGGAAGCCAAGCAGCUACAAGUGCAUCAAUCGACGAGACAAAUGGCUGUACAACAACCGGCCGACCAGAGAUGACAACAACAACACAUUUCACAGACCCACAAACAUUGUAAAUAGUAUUGGGACCCGGCUCUGAUAUUGUAAGAUUCAGGCUGUCACCAUAUGUUUCUGCGUACGGGGGUUCUCCCACAACCACAAUGGCAUAAGAGAAUUCGCCAGAUUUAACAAACCCUGCAUCCGGGUUCUCACUGUAUACAACUUGAGUACUUGAAUCAACUGUAUUUUUGACAGCCUGGAGGAUAGUCGUACCUGUUUGAGAAGAUUGUGUUCAGUCAAAUCAUAAGGGAUAAGUGCAUAAGGGAUUCAACAAGGAUUAAACAAAGCCCAACUAUCUAUUUUGAAAUUAACAAACCCCUUAAGUUAGGAGUAGUUAAUAAAUAAUGGCAAAUUCAGAGGCAACACCACAACUUAAAUGCUUUUCUGGGUCAUUUUAUUUGUCAACCUAUUUAUGUUUUUAAUUGUUUCAAGUGUAAAGUCUAAAAACGUACCAGUUGUGAGAUCGUUGCCACCAAGACCCUGCCAUGUAAUGGUCCAGCCUCCACACUGAUAGCCCAAGUUAUCGGCAUGAGUGCCAGCAACUAGUAUCUUAGUUGCUUUCUUUGGAAGGGGUAACAAUGGCUUAUCGGCAGACUCACCAUUCUUCAGUAGGACGAGACUUUUCCUCACAGCUUCCCUUGCCAACUCCCGAUGUUCCUAUUCAAAGCAUGUUGCCAUUUAGUAAAACUAUGUUUUUUUUUUUCACCAAUAUGCUACCCAACAUUCUGCAUUGCAGAUAUGACUCUUUGAUCCCAUAAAUAAGGAUAAUCGAAGGGCAUACAAGUCCUAUUAUAACAACAGAAUGGAUUCAACAUACCUGACUCCCGAGUUGGUUGACCAGGCUGUUAUCAGCCAUUGGAUUCUCAAAGAGACCCAUCACAAAUUUAACCCUCAAGAUUCGCUUUACAGCAUCAUCAAUCCGGCUCAUUGGAAUGAUAUUGUUUUUAACCUGAUAGGUUAGGUCAUCAAUAAAUUCUGUGAAGUUAUAAGGAACCAUGACCUGCACGACACCAGAGAUUUCUUUAGAAGACAAGAGAGAAGCUCAACUUGUCAAAGUACCAUAUGCAAAAUAAAGAUUGGUACUCCGAUAGACUCAAAAAGUUUGAAUAGCCUGACAUAUAUAGUACUAAAUAUGGACUGACCAUAUCAAUCCCGGCACCAACUCCAGCUUCUACAGAAUAUGAGUAGUUAGCAUGUGGAGGAGAGGUAAUCCUAUCAAGACCCUGCCAAUCUGAUAUAACGAAACCCUGAAAUACACCCAAAGAAACAAGUCAAAACCAAAUGGUUUAUACUGAUUGUAGUCAGUGGAGAUAAGUUUUUAGUUUAUGUUACCCUGAACUUAAGCUUGUUUUUCAAGAAGUCGGUCACAAGAUCAUGAUUAGCAUGCAUCUUUUUUCCAUUCCAGCUAGAAUAGGAUGUCAUAAUUGUUGCAACGCCCUUUGCAAUAGAGUUAAAAUAUGCAGGCAUGUGGAUGCUGAGUAAUCCGUUCCAGCUAAUAACAGUAUUGUUCUCGUUUAUGCCUUUUGUUGUACCUCCAUCUCCCACAUAAUGCUUAGCACAGGCUGCCACCUUGUUCCUAGAAAAAGAAAUUAAUUGAUUAUGGGAAACUCAAUACUUUCUAAUUCAACCAAUUAAGUUAUUACAAUCUGAAAAUGUACAUUAGGAGAACCUAUAAAUCUUCAUAACUAAGAGCAGAUGACUCAAUCUGAUCUAUCUAAUAGGGUAUGAUACAGAAGAGUUUGGUGGACCUAUUACUUUGCUUCAUUAUUCAAGUCUUGUUUUAUAUUUAGAUGACUAAGUGACCCACAAUGAAAGCCUGCCACAUGAUUACACCUAACGAUGUCCAAAAGAUUUAAGACAAAUUUGGGACACUUGUAGUUUGGGAAAUUCUCAUCACAAGUAAAGUUAGUAACGCUAGCCUUUUAAGUGGUUGGUUUAUAGUAAAGACUCUUACUUUCCAGCAACAAAGGGAACACCCUUUUUAGAAUGGACAGGGAGGCCUCCUUGUAAACCAGUUAUAAUCUCAGUCAUCAUUUGAACAAUCUUAUGAUCCUCACUGUAGCUUUCAUAGCAUCGACCCCACCUUGGGUCCCUGCAAACCUGUAGUAAAAGCAAACAAAAGAAAUUAGUACACAUGGUGCAUGCUUUAAAAUAUAUCGGCAUUCAAGCAUGUUCUAAUGUUUAAUUACCGCGAUGCAUGGAGCAAAAGCAUAUGGGAUUCCUGUAGCUCUAACUUCGAGCGCAGUUGCUUCACCAAUCCUCUUGACAAGGUUAGGAUCCCUGCGGGGAAAAAAAUCACCAUUGCUCAACAUUUCAUCCACUAAAUUUAGUUCCAAUUAGACCGAUGCGGGUUGAAAGUGAAUCUUGAACUCUUAGCCACUUCAUAAUAAGACAAAAGAUGAAAGUCUAUAUCUAAGGCAAAAUGUAAAACCUUGAAUAAUUGAUAAAGAAAAAAUUCAAUGAUCAUUUUUGCCUUAUGAUAUAAGACUUGCCUAGUCACUCCAAGACCAAUAUUAUGAGGAAAAAUGGUGGCUUUGUACACAUUGUUGUGACCAUGAACUGCAUCAAUCCCGUAUAUCAUUGGAAUUCCAAGACGGGUGGAUAAAGAUGCCUUUUGUAUCGUAUUCACCAUCUCAAUCCAAGUUUCAGGAGUAGCUUUUUGAGCUGGCACACUCCCUCCACCACUCAGAACACUUCCUGCACAAACCAUGAAACCACCUCCAAUUACCACAUAACUCAUUUUCCUAAAAAGACAGCAUUAAGCAUGACAACCAUUUGCAUAAAUAAACAUAAUAAAAUAAAACGAAAGAGUUAGCAUAUUCAAUGAAAUUAAUAUUUGGCAGCAAGGGUAUGAAUCCACAGGUAAAUGAAACUAAAUAAACAAAAUCAUAGAGGAUUGUGCAUCAAACAUACACUCUUGGAAGAAAUUCGGCAUAUAAACAAAACACGAGGAAAAAACUAAAAUGUGGACUUAUUAAAGAUUGUUAAAAGACGGAUUUGGUUUUAUACCAAUGAAGUAGUUCUUCAUCGCAUCUGGGGUAGCAACAGUGCGCUCAAUCUGAGUCAUUUGGCCAAUCUUUUCAGCCAAAGUCAUCCUACGCAUUAAAUCUUUGAUUCUAACACCCAAUGGCUGUUUUGGGUCUUUGUACUUCAUAUAGGUUGCUUCCGUAAGAGCAGCUAAGCAGCAUAGCAGUAGAAAUCCCAACUUGGGUAUUGAAAAUUUAGCCAUUUUUUUUCGAGUUCCCGGAUCAAGCUUUAGCUCUGAAAGUCUGAAGGUGUAAAGAAAGUUAGACCGUAUGUGAAGAUUAAAAUCUAGAAAGUGGCAGAAGACUAUAAAAAUCAAAUGUGAAGGCUAUCUGUUAUAAGCUAAAACUCAAGUACUCUGAAGCAUUUUGAUUGCUAUCAGAUAAGUUAAAAGGAUAAACAUUUUCAUUUCUAUCAGAUAGUUAAAAGAUAAAAUGAGUGGAAAAAUAAAAUAAAACAACCCCAAAAAUUAAAAACUCUAAACAAGAUUGGAACUUCGAACUUACUGGAAAGCACUGCUAGCUGAGAAACUAUAAUACACGGAGAGUAAAAAUGGGGGAAAGCGAGAGAGAUGUAGAGUCGUAGUCCCAAUGUAAAAUGACAGUCAUUUAUAGAGAAAUGUAAUUAAAAAAAUGGUCCCAACACGCUUUUUUAUAUUAUUACUUCCCCUUUACUUCUGCUUUUCCGGUAGUCAAUUUUUCCAACAAAAUUUUUUUCUAGACAAAUUUCAAACUUUGAAAACGCAAUUCAUUUUCUUUUCAUGUUUUAUUUUUAUAAAUCUCAAUCGUAUUUUAAAAAUCACAAUUUGUAUUGAUCUGUUUGUCGCCUCAAAACAAUAUUAUUAUUUUAAAUAUUGUACUAAAAAAUUAUGUCUUGAUUACAUUAAAAUUACUCAAAUUAGUUAAAAAUAUGAAAAUCCAAAGAGCAAAAGAGUGUGUCACAUUUUCUUUUUCUUUUUAUUUAGUAAAAUUUUGAAGUGCUUCACACUUCGCUUUGUUUUCACAAUUCCAUCACUUCAAUAAGUUUGAUUAAGGAUCCAUCUUUCCAUUUGUGAUUAAAGGAAUUAAUUCACCAUAUCUUUCAUAUUUAAUUUUAUUAAAAUUCAUUCAUCUGAUUUUUAAAAUAUUAAUUAAAUACUUAUUCAUAUUCUGAAAAAUAUUAAACAUUUAAAAUAUAUAAAAAAAACUUUUUGAAUUCUUAAAAAUAAAAAUACAAAAAUUAAAUAUUUUAAAAUACAAAUGUUGGUUUACAUAUGGUUUGAAAAUUUUAGAUUAAAUUAUUUACUAUGAUGUUGUCAUCAAUAUUAAGUCGAUGUCGAGUUGACUUAUGACAUCAACUCAGCCAAAUACAUGAAUAAUAUAUACAACUAAUGAAAAUAGUAAAGUGUGCAUAAUAAAAUGAAAAUAUAUAAAAAUGUCAAAAAAAGGAGUUGUAGUUAAAUCACAAAUUAAAGGUUUUAUUAAUACAAUUGGUAUGAGUUUAAAUUUCACUAUAUGAAUAUUUUUAUUAGUUUCUUUUCAAAGUAAAAAAGAUUAAAAUAUCCUCGAAUAAUAUUAUUUAUUUUAACUACGAAAGGAUAUUCUCGUAACUUCCUAACCGACCAACUCGGUUAGGAGUUUUAAUAAUAGUAAAUAUAGUAAAUUAAAGGUUGUAUUAAUGUAAUUGGUCUGAGUUCAAAUAUCAACAUAUAUAUAUUAAAAUAAUAUUAUUUAUUUUAAUUACAGGAGGAUAUUUUCAUAACUUUCUAAUUAAAUUAAUAAUUCGAAGAAUCAAUCAAAAUAAAAAUAAAAAAUUUAAAUAAUAAUAUAAAUAAACAUAUUUUAAUUAAAAAUGAUUAUAUACUCAAUUCUUGGCCAUCACAUUGAAAAUGAUAAGGUUUCAUAUGUUAUAUUGAUUUUUCCCUUCUUUUUUUUUUUCAAAAAAUUCGGUGCGAAAUUUGGAAUAACACGAAUGUGCGUACCUUCCUUGCAGAAGCCAACCUCUUAGAACGCGGCUUAAAGUGGGGGAAAUAAUUGAUUUCUCACUGAAAACUUUUUAAAAAAUAAUCUAUAUUUUUAUUCUUAAUUACUUGGAAGUCUUAUCUCUUCGGGACAACUCUAAUUCAUCACCGCACAUAAUCUAAUUUUAAGUAAUUACUUUUUAUAAAAUUAAUAUUUUUUAUAAAAAUUAUGAAUUUUUUCAUCACAUCGCGAAUUGAAUCAUAAUUAAAAUAAAAUAUUUAUGUUUAACUUUUCAGAUAAUAUCAUUCUGAUACUUCUUAUGAUUUUCCAUUAUAUAAUAAAUGAGAGAGAAAUUUUUUUUAUAUUUUAAAUAUUUAAAUGUGUAACAUGGGCUGAACUUACAAAAAUUAAAUUUCUAUAUUUUGAUUUAUUUUGUAUAUGUUAAUGAUUAUAUUUAUUUAACAUAAAAAUAAAUAAAUAAAUAAAAUUAAAUCUAAAUAAAGUUCAUAUGUGUAUUUGUUUAGAUUUAAUGUUUAUCUAUGUAAAUAUUAUGUUUGAACCUCGGUAAAAUCAGUUAUUAAAAUUAUUAUAUGGAGUAAAUUAAAAUGAUAUCAAUAAACUGAUAUUAUUGGAGAUGGGAACGAGGAAUAAUGGAAAGGAGGAAAGGGUAAAGCGUGGAAUAUUUGUACAUUAUAGAAAACAGUGUUUUUCCUUUGAAAGAACAUGAAAAGAGAGCAAAAGGGGAAUUCCUAGAAUAUGACCGUUGUGGGAAUCAACGGCUCCAAUUAAAUUCCAACGGGUCAAUCGGGUAAGUAUGUAGAAUGAAGCUUAGAUUUGGAUCUUCUUUUUAUUAUUUAAUCUCUGUAUCCUAUCUUCAAAUGCAUGUCACUGUAUUCAUCUAACCUAUUAACAAAUUUUAAUUAUUUACAGUUUAUUAUAUAAUAAAUAUAUUCCUAUAAAAAUUGGUGUUAAAAUUUUAGUUGAAAUGAGAAAGUUAAAAUAGGAAAAACGAUAAUGUUUUGAGUUUGAAUCUUAUUAAGUAUAUUUUUUAAAAUUUUACAUGAUUUAAAUUAGAAAAUAUACUAUCGUAAUAAUCAGUAUUAUUUUAUAAAAGAGAAGUUCUCAAUAAUUGUUUAACUGAAUUGGGAUUUGAUUGAUGAAUGAUAUUAAUUUUAUAAUUUUUUAAUAUAAUAUAAAUAUUUGAUUUUAAGAGAUUUUAAUAAAAUAUGAGAAUAAAAUUUAUUGUUAGUUAGUAUGAUUUGAGUAAGUUAAUUUUAUUUUUGGACUUGUAAUCGGAUUCUCACUCCUAGAGUGACUUAAUUGGAACAUCGUAAACUUGGGUUCCUCCCUCGAAUCCUAGUAAAACCCCCAGCCUAUCCCUACUAACCACCCAGGGGAAGUAGCAUACACAUCCAGCACCUUUGCAAGUCACAAAUUCAAUGGAAGAUAAAACCCAACCUCUAAAGAGUCCAAGGGCAAGUUAAACCUUCAGCCACCAUAUUCCACAUUGCUCAAACGAAAUCUUGAAAUCAAACCCAAAAUGGGGAAUAUGCACAACCCUAUGUUCUAACAUUCUUUUCCAUUUCUUACGUCGUCAUUGUACAUUCAAACUCAUGACACUAUAAAAGCAAAACAAUAGGCCUAGAUUUUUGGCUUUCUCCUUUCUGUCAUCAAUUGGCUCUCUUUUCCUUUCUUUACUCUUAUAUGCCAUUUAUCUCAUCAGAAUUUACUACCAAAACAUUUGUUUAAAUGAGAAUUAAUUAUUGUAAAAUGAAUUAAUCUUUGAGAAUUAAAAAUUAAUUAAGGAAUUUUAGUAGUUAUUGAGCUUUUAAUUGGGGUAUGAAUUCAUUUUAGUACCAAAAAUGGAUAGGAGAGUUUUAAGUGGUAAAUGUAUCAAGGGUCUUAAGGUGAUUAUCCCAAAGUUCUAUGGAAACAAAAUUCACGUCAUUCCUACUUCAUUGUGCUGCAGUUUCUAAAGAAAAUGAGUGUUCUCUUUUGUGCUGUAUUGUGAAAAGAAGGAAAAAAUUCUUUGACUUUUCUCCAAAAAUCAUACACGAGAUUAUAAAAAUGACAGGUGAACGUUAUUCUUUCCAUCUCUCAUUCAUUGGUGGAACAAGAAAGAGAAAAUCUCUCUUCAACCCUUCAAACUAUAAAUUAAUGUGUAAUUCAUGUUUAAUUUUUUUAUAAUUUUUUUAAUAAUUUUAUUACAAAUUUAUUGUAUCUGUUUUUUUUAAUAUAAUACUUAGAACUAUUCGUAAUUAUUCUUUAACUCAUAAAUACAAAGAUAAUUUAUUUUAAUACAUUCGAACUCAUAUUUUCUUAUAUUGACAACAAUGUUGAUUUAAUGAGCUAUUAAUUUAGUUUAAAUACUAUUUGAUUGAAAUGAAGAUUGAAAAUUGAUGGAUAGGAUGAUUAAUUGGAAUAUUUUUUGAAUGCCAAAAUAGUGAAUAUUUGGUUAGUGGGAAAUGUUGUGAAUUCCACAUACUGUAGAUUGGUGAGCUAUUUAACUUCAAAUUGUGGCAGACCAAAAACGUGUAUCUUGAAUAUUUCGGAUAUAGUUGAGCUUUACAUAUUCGGAAUGUUGGAUGGUUAAAUACCCAUAUGUCAUGUAAAUGUAAUCUCUUUUUAUGUGUUACUUGAGUAAACAUUUUAUAUUUAUACGUUUUAAAAUUUUUAUAUAAUUGAUAUCAUUGUUACAAUGAAAAGUGUUUUCUUGAUUUAUAUUUUGUUAUAUUUGAUUUGUUGAUUUUAAAUUGUUAGAGUAAAAUUAUAACAUCAAUACAACUAACAUAACUUAAUCCCAAACCAUACUUAAAAUGAUAAACAUGUCAAUAUAUAUAUAUAUAUAUUUAUAUUUUUAACUCUAAAAUAAAUGAUUAUUUAUAAAGUGGACAUCAUCACUUAACGUUUUAUAUUUGUUUUUCGUGCGCCAUUUGUUUCAAAUUUUUCCCAUUAUUUACUUCCAUAAAGACUUUUAUUUCUUUAAUUUUAAUUUGUUAAGGGAUGAACUUAGGACUGUUUACAAUUUUGGACUUUUUUUAAUAUGAUUGGUUUUGUAGACAUUUUGGCUACAUUGACUUCUAUUGAUUUGUUGUUUUGAUUCUUAAACAAUGAUAUUUUAUAAAUAAAUAAAAAUUUAAGUAUAUUUAAACACACAAAUUUUGAGUCAAAAGUUAACUUAAAAAUUUAAAAUAAAAUUUAUUGAUAACUUUAAAAGAAAAGUUACAAUCUCUAAAUGGAACACCCCUAAAAUCGAUAUAUUAUAAAAGUAGUAUUAAAUUAAAAUAGUGUAUAAUUGAUUUAUCGUUAAAAUGAGAAGAAGAUAUAAAGAUGAUAAAAGAAAGGGGUAAGUGAUGCCAAAAAAAUUGAAUUAAGAAGAAUGUCGAUCUAAGGGAUUAGAUUGUAAUAAUGUCAAAAGUUUUGAUGAAAGAGUACAAUUUUUUAGAAUUUAAGGGGUUAAAGUGUAAAUAUAAGGAAAUUUAAAGGAUCAAAAGUAAAUAAUCCAAUUUCUUAAGAUAUAAAAUUGGGAUAUAGGGACCAAAUUAGAUAAGUAAAAGAAAUACGAGAGACUAAAUCACAAUUUUAUCAAAAGUGAGUAGUGACUCGAGAAUGGAAUUUUGAAGAAAUGUGAAGGGUAAAAGGCCAUUACUCAAAUUAGAUAAUUAUAUGGUAUACUUAUUAAGGAUGAAAGGUGUUCAAUUGUGAUUGUUUGAUUUUUUAUUAUUUUUUAAGAUAUUUUAAUAUUUUAAUUAAAUAAUUAAAUGAGAUAUUUUUGGAUAAAAGUGUAGAAAAUUCCCUUAUCUUCCAUGCAUGUCCCGUUGGUUAUAAAUAGAAGUAGAAGGGUUUUCAUUUCUUUACAAUUUGAUCCUUUACUAUGAAAUCUCAUUUUUUCUCUAAAAUUCUUUGAAAAUUUUUAUAACUACCCAAAAGAAGAAGUGAAAUAGAGACUUAAUUUCGAACAAAACAAAACAAAACAUGAAAUUUUUUAUAACUAUGGUAUAAAGCCAAAUGAGUAUAGUUUCAAACAAAACAAACGAAUCUUAAUUUCGAAUUCUAUAGACUGAGAUAUAAAUAAAUUAGUGACUCAUUCAAAUGGAUAGCCUUGAUUACAUAUAAGCAUGAUAUGUUAAGAGCUAAAGAUUCAUAUAUAUAUAUACACAUAUACAUAUAAAUAUUAACGAAGUGGAAUAGAGAGGGAAAAAUUAUAGAAGUGAUAUUGCUAAGAAGUUGUUGCAAAUAAUGGAUUUGGUAAUACAUAAGAGAAGUUCAAAUAUAUUGUUAAGGUAUUAUUAUGUGGACUUGAGAUUAGAAUUGGGUAAAUGUGAAUGAUAUAAGAAAUGAGUUGAAUUGAUUGGAUUUUGAGCGUUGAAAAAAAAAACUUAGAUGUUAAAAACUUGAAAUAUGGUAAAACAUGAGAAAUAUGAUUCUCAUCGCAACGACGGAGGAACCACGUCGCGACAACAUAAGUCAAUUUGUGAUGUUGUGACAAUGAACCCUUGACGUCUCAAUGUCACCCCGAAAUUUUGAGAACCUUUCACUUUAGUCCCUGUUCCUCUUUAUACUAUUUUAAAGGUUGCAAUAAACCCAUAUACAACUCGGAAAUGACACUAAGGUAUAUCAAAAACUUAAAGUGAUCAAAUUGAUUAAAUAAAUACUCAGAACCAAAUGAAUUUGACUGUUAUUGUUUUGGCAACAAAUGUAGCAUCCCGAUAUCCUGACUCGAUGAUCGGGUUAAGUAUAGAGGUGUUACACUAGAAAUUUCUACAAGAAAAGUUCUUCGCUACUUCUCGCCAGUUUGAAUUUGAUCCAAGGGUCAUCUGACUUGAUCUUGGAUGGUUAUGAAUUGCUACAAGUGUCGUGUUGACUUGCUCUUGGAACGAGUUUGAACCUCUUUUUUCAGUUGAUUUGGAUUAAAGGCGACUUUAUUCAAAAACGACUUUUGACUUCUUCUCCACGAUUGAAUUGGAUUGGAAGAUGGCUUUUAUUCAGAAUUGAUACGGCGUUUUUCAUAAUUUUUUCGAGUUCUUCAACUUUUUUAAAGAAUUCUGCAGUGAUUUUCUAAUUUUCCUGAACUUGUUCAUUUAUAGAAUGGCUUGGGGUGAUUCUUUUUGUAGAAUUUAACUACUUUAUUUAAUUGUUCUACAAGAAUUUAAAAUUAUUUAUUAUUUAUCUUUUAUUAAUUUAAUUAAUUAGAGAUAGUCACUUAAUUAUUUUAUUUUAAUUAGUGAUGAUAUAAAAAAUAUUAUUUAUCACUUAAUUCAUUUAAACUAAUUAAAGAAAAAUAAUUGUAACACAUAUAUGAUCUCAUCAUUUUCACUCAUAAUAACUUUGACUUUACCCCAUAAUAAUUUCAGUCUUGUAUGUAGUGCUUUGCAAUUGGCAUGUAAAUUUUCUUCCUUUGCAAUCUAAUUUUCGUAAUAUGCUUAAAUUUUGCGUUUUGGUAAAUAAAUGAUUUUAAAAAAUGUAAUUGUAUGCUCGAGAAUUUAUAUUAUUAUGUGCAUAUAUUGAAUGCAUAUACUGAUUUGAUGAUUAAUAUAACAUUUUGUAUUUGAGCUGGACCUUCAGAUUGUGUAUAAAAUAUUAUAAUUCGUAAAACAUAGUACAAAAUUUAAGGGAAACACCACAAUAAAAAUAACUACUAAAAAAAACCUACAAUAUGCUUUAAAAGCAUGAAAAAAAAUGUCAAUCAUUGCAUUCCAUGCACCAAAAAAGGAAAAUGAAUGAGAAAAUGGAGUGUCCCCGUCAUUAUGACCAUACCAAAGCUAAUCGAACGCAGGCAAUUCAUUGCAACCUGGAAGUUAAAAGCCUAGUUCCAACCACAAACCAAUAGCAGUCCUUCAAUUGCCUAUACUUGACAACCUAAUCCACUUGCAAGCAAACACCAUUGUCCAAGCAAAGGUCACAUUAUUGUUAUACAUAAGUUCCUCUCAAUCGAUCUCAGCUAAGAAGAUGGCUCACCCACAAGGUAAAGUUUAUCCAACAACCAAGUUACAUUAAAUGUGCAAUUACACUCAUCAUUUGUGUUGUACGUGCUCAACAACUAAUCAAGUCGCAUUACAAGCACUCGUAACUUUUACUAUGCUUGUCGUAAUCCAAUAUCAAAUCUCUAAUACAAUCCAAUCAUCUCCGAUUUGACCCCAUAAAGAUAUCCUUUAUUAAAUAAAUAAUCAUUCUCUAUUGAGCUGGUAACAUACCUUCUCCCCCGUAUAAAAGAUCCUCUCAAAAUAUUGAGGACACAAAAAUUGCCAUUCUUCCAAGCUCAAUCCAAAGCUCCAUAUAUCAUCAACAUACUCUCCCCCCGCUCCCCCCCCCAAAAAAAAAAAACAGCCUUCUUAGUGGCUCUCAACACCUAAAACCAUAAUGUGAACCGCCAUCAAUCACCAAUCCUCAAACCAUGCAUCAACAGCUAGUGAAAUUCGCAAUUACAUGUAGAUUAUAGAGCUAAUCUCUAAAAGUGAAUAAGUUGGCAUGGUUACGGUAUCUAUUGAAAUGUCUUGAAGAACAUGAUUUAAAGCUUCAAAUAUAGACAAUAUUAAGACUUUCUCUCAUCUCUCCACGAGGUCUAACCCUUUACAUAAUCAAACCAAUGUGGGAUACUUUAAGAGCAAAGAGACACAGUUUAGGUCAAUGAUAACUACCAAAAAAAAAAAUCUAAUCAUUCUAUAAAAUAAAAAUAAUAAUCCUGGAAUAAUGAGUGGACUCACACUACAUGUGCUGCAACACCAGUUUAGGUCAAUGAUAACUAAGGCAGUAAAGCCGAUUAACUUGCUAUACUGCAACACCAGUUUAGGUUACAUACAUGAUAUAAAACUCAUAGAUAUAUUGCCAGAAUUGAGAUAUGCCUGCAUUGAUAAUUCAUGCGAUACAACAAUGAAGUUUCUUAAAUUGAAAUUGCAAUGAUAGACUGCGUAUAUAGAAACUGUCAACAACAUUCAAUUGAAAAUAGUUUUACAGAUAAUUAUCAUUUUAUGUUUAUAUAUUUCGUACAUAAAUAAUUAUAUAUAUUUUUAGUAAAAUAAGAAAGCAUAAGCGAGGCAAAAGAACAACCUAAUUCAAUACGAAAAGAUUAUAAUCCGCCAUAAGCAGCUUCCUAACAAAAUUUAGAUGUUCCUCCAAUAGAUGAAAUCACAUUAACUGUAGAUCUUCAAAUUUGACCAAAAUAUCCACCACUAUAUUCUACGCUUGGAAAAUAUGUCUGACACAAACCUCCCAAGAGAAAAUAAACAUGUGACGUAUCAGUCGCAGCUCCCAUAUAAAAAUAAAUUGAUAUAUUUAUUUUUUUAAAUGUGAAUGAUUAAAUCAAAAUUAAAGUUUAAAGUAUACAUUUAAAUCACAAAUUAGAGUUUUACAUGAAUAAUUGCACCAAAUUAAAGUUUAUAUAUACAAUUACACAUUAAAUCAAAAUUCAUGUAUCCCCAAAUUAAUUUCAAAGGAGUUAGUUUUCUAUACAUGGUUUUACAUCAGAAUGUCAUAGCUUUAAAAUGAACAUCAGGUUUGACAAAUUAAAUUACGUCUAAGUUUUGAUACUCUUAAAAUAAAAUUGGCUUAUAUACAGAGUUUUGGAGUUCUGAUCUUAUCUCUACAUUGGAUAGCCGUAUUUUCCCACAAAAUGGCCUGUAUGCGGCAACUGUUGCAGUUGAGUUGCCUGUUGAACCAUACCAUGUGGUUCAGAACCCCGGUUUUGUUCGACGGGCACAUCCAUCGUUUUGCUAUCGACUGUGGUAAUGUCGUGGAUGCUCGACCGUUUUCUCUCCUUUUUCACUGCACUCUGCCGGAGAAAAUACUUCUGAGCAUGGCUAGCCACUUGAGUCGGCGUCCGUGUCACCACCACGUUUCUAGAUAUACUCCGCCAAUCACCCUUGCCAAAUUUUUGCAGACCAAUUAAAAAUAACCUGUUCAUCCAUUAAAGACCAAUUGAAGAUAACAUGUUAUCCACUAAAUGAUUCACAGGAAAACAAUCAUGGAGUACAUAUAUAGCAGAAGAGAGUAAUAGUGUAAUUCAUUUUGCAGCACAAUUACUGUCCAGACAACAACGAAGUCAAUUAAAAAUGCUAUAAAUUACCUCAAAUAACUCAGUAAAUAUUGAACGAACAACACGUAUAAACCUGUGCUCGCAAGACACUAGGGUUUCGUUCCAAAGGACUUCAAUUCAGCUGACAUUUCUUGAGUCAAUUUUAAGUGGUUUUAAGAUAUCAAGCAAAGAGGAUUAAAUAUAGUCAUACUUGACUCAAGUGGCUUGAGCUUCUUUGGUUCUUUAUAUAAAGUAAUCCCAUAUACGUUAGAAAAACAAAGUGACAAUAAACUCAGAAUUAACAAUAGUACAUAUAAUAUACAAGACCUGAUGUCAACAGGGACUUAAACAACAUAAGUCAAUUGCAACUAUUCUAUUUUUAAUUAACAGUGAUAAAUUUCAACUCCACUUGAACACAAAUAACCAAGCUUUAAUCGAGUAUGAUUACCAAACUCAUUUUUUUUACUAACUAAACCAAUCUAAUUGAGCGAGUUCAAGCACUGCAAUUUUCAUCUCAAAUGUAUUUUUGAGUUUCAAAAGUAAAACUCGAUUCGAACUUUGAGAUCGAGUUUCUGACAGCUUGAACUCACUCUGCUCAAUUAGACCCCAAAGAGAAUCAAAGCCAAGCCCGGAUGCAAGCACUUAAAUCCACACCUUCACAGAAACAGGAACCUUGAUUAUGUGCUUGCACGUGGCCGGGAAACCACAGCCUAUAUGUCAUAAGUCAUGGUCUAAGCGUGCACAAAUUCAUUCAUUUUUAAGGUUCAUAUGUUCAGGCACACCCACUCAGGGGCCGACCCUCAACCAACAUGAUUUAUCGCUGUUCAGAAGUUAGAAAACAAUCAUUCACAAUAAAACUUUUUAACUUUCACAAUCAAUCAUUCAAAUCUAACAUCGUUAAUGAUUUCAAAUCGACUCUAACCGCCCGUUAAAUACUAGAUUCCCUAAAACCCUUCAUACAUACUUCAAUUUUUAGAUUCAAUUAGGUAAUGGACUUGGUUCAAAAUAAAAAAUAAAAAAAGCGGCGUACUUGUGUUCUUCUUCUGUCCAGGGAGUUCCCUUCUUUCUUUCACCGUCUCCGUGAUGUUUCGACUUGGAAACGAAUGAAAUCUGAUUAUGGGAAUCCCAACUCUGUGACAACAUUACCGAAUCAUCAGCAUACUGGGGAACCUGAACUCGACCCGCAUCGAUCUCAUAAACAUCAUAGACAAGCAUAUGAAAAUGUUGUUCAACUUCUUUAGCUGACUUUCCGGGAAUCUGUUCAGCGAUCUUCUCCCAGCGAUCAGAAAUCCCCUCAGGAAACAAAACCAAACACUGCUCAAAAACCUUAUCCUCCACACGGGUCCAGUGAGUGGUCGCCGCCGCCACCGACUCAAUAAAUAACGGAUCACAGUUGUAGUGGUUGUUAUCCUGGUACAUGCCGAUUGGGGGUAGCUAAUUAAGUAAUUUGUGUUGGAGUUGAAGAAGAUAGAAAUUUGAAACUGUUGGUAUUUCGGAUUGUUGGGAGGGGUUUUACGAUUUUAUGUUCUUUUUGAAUUCUUUUUGUCAGUAUUUGUAUCUGCUUAGACUUUUUAUUCAACACGCUUUGUUUAUUAUUGGAUAAAUCUUUCUCUUUUUUAUAAAUUUUUUUUUAGGUUUAAUGACAAAUUUGUCCACUAAAGUUUACAUAUUUUGUCAAAAUGAUCCUAAUUAUAUUUUUGAGUCUUUUUUAACUAUCAACUUUUAUUAUUUUUCUCAAUUUGUUUUUUUUAACAGAUUUGACAAAAGUACCAUUAAAAAAGUUAACGGGAUGAUGUAAAAUAUUUUUAAUGAGAUGUAAUCUAUACUAAAAAUAUUAAAGAUGUGCAUUCAUUUUGAAACUUUUUUAGAUAAUUACAUUUAUUUUUAAAUUAAGAGAUAUUUUUUUAACUUCAUGAAUUAUUUAUUUAUUUUAUCAUUUUUCACAUGUAAUUAUUUUAUUGAGUUACUUAAGUAAUAGAUUAUAUCUCAUUAAAAAUAUUUCACAUAUGAAAUCUGUUAAAAAAAUUUGAAAAAAAAAUAAAAGUUGAUAGCAAAAAAAAAAAACUCAAAAUUAUAACUAGGAUUAUUUUGACAAAAUAUAUAAAUAUUAGUGACUAAAUUUGAUAUUAAGCCUUUUCUUUAUAAUUAUAAACCAUCCAGCUGUUUUAUAAACAACAUUGUCAUAUUCUUUUAAUCAUUAUACAGAUUAUAAUUUCAAAUUAAUACCUAGGGAUAGGGCUUAUAUACAAUUUCCCUCAUUUUUAGUUUAUAUUUACAGAAUACAGAAUUAUUUAAGAAAAAAAACAAUUUCAUUAUAAAAUAUUAAUUAAAUAAUGUAUCCAAAUUCAUUAUCCACGAAAGUAAAAUGGAUUAAAAUAUUUAUUAUCCCAAUCAGUUGUGAAUAAUAAUUAAAAUAUAUAAAAUAUUAAGAGUAAAAUAUAAAAGAGAAAAUGUAGGGUUGUACGGUUGUACCUUUAAAUUGGUCAAUAUUUUUAAUGAUAGUAAAAGAUGAUGGAUAUGGUAAUUUACAAAAAGGCUUAAUAAACUAAUCGGAAUUCUUUUUUAUAUAAGCAUUGGUCAAAUACUAUUUUUUAUUUUUAUUUUUUGGUUUCAAAAUAAAUAAAUAAUUUUUUGGGUGCACGUCCUCAUUCUAUUUUCUUUUCUGUCUAAACUCUUUCUUUACGCAACUCAGUUUGAUAUUACGGUUCAAUUUAUAUGCAAAUUUAAAUAAAAAAUAUUUUUUUAUAUUAGCAAUUUAAAUGCCAUUUGAUUUGAUAAUAUAUUUAUAUACAAGAAUUCUUUUGCUUUGCCUUUUUUUUCUUUAUAAUAUAUUUAUAUAUUUGUAUUAUUAUUAUUUAUGCUCAUAUAAUAUGAUUAAAUGCUGAAAUUAUAGAGGUUACUCGUCUAAUCAUAAUGUUUCGUUUGAACUUAAUUAGGAUUGUAAAUGAAUCGAACUUGAAUAAAUGUAUUUUUGUUUAUCUUCAUUUGUUUAUUUUUAAAUUUAUUUGUGUUUAUUAAGAAUUUUAAAAUGUUUGUUUGUGUUUGUUUAUUUAAAAUUAUGUGUGUUUAUGUUUCUUCGUUUAAGUUAAACAAACAAUGUUGAUGAUUUAUUAAAUGAGCUAACAAACAAUAAACAUAUAUAUAUAUAUUAUUUUUUAGAUAUGAAAUAGUCAAAUAUAACUAUUAAUAAUUAUAUUAUAAAUAAAAAAAUAAACACACAAGUCUUAAUAAAUUUAUUAAUAUAUACUAAUAGAACAAUAAAUAAGCUUUAAAUGAUUUAUUAAACGAGCUUUCAAUAAACAUAAACGAAUUUAUUAAUGAGCAUAAAUAAACUAAAUAAGCUUUGUUUAUGUUCAAUUUGUUUAAUAAGCAACCCUUAAAAUCUUGUCAUAAGCAAACAAAAAUCAAGUUGUUCAUCCAACACCCUAUUCAUUUACAUCCCUAAUCAUAAUUUUCAAAACUUUGACCAGUCACUUUAUAACCACUCUUUAACCUUAGGAAAAUGUAUUGUUUUACCACAAUGUGAGACCAAAAAGAUGAAGGAUAAAGUUCCUAUAAAAAUAUUAGCCCAUAAAGAGAUGGGCAAAUUCGAUGAAAAGCAAUCUUAGCAAAUCCCUAUCAAGGCUAGCAAUAGUAUCCAUUGAGGAAUAAAAAAAAAAAGAAUGAAGUGUAAAUGACUGGACAACCUUUGCUAAGAAAAGACACCAACCCCAAUCAAUCAACUGUAAGUAGUGGUCAUCAUUUCGACAUCUUUCACACAUUACGCAUUUGAGGUGUCUAAAAUAAAUUUUGUAUAAAAAUGUAAAGGGUUCUUUGACAGAGGGAGGAAGCGUUGCAAACAAAUCAAUAAGAUGUAUCAGGAUAAAGUAAAGAAGAAGAUUGUAACAAAUCUAGUAACAAUGAGUGCAAUGGCAGUUGAUGAUUGUUAAUGUGGAGAAAGAAAAUGUGGUUGACGAUAAGGCUAAAUAAAGAAAACUGUAACACCCUUAACCAGUAUUCAUCGUCGGAAUAGGGUUUCAGAGCAUUACUAAAAUUUACAGAUCAUUUAACAGAAAUUUCGCUUUACAUAACGUUCAUACCUGUAAUUAAUCAAAUUUAAUCAUAGUGUCUCUUACGUGAGCCAUUGAGGCUCAAAAUAUAUAUCGGGACUUAACCAAAAACUCAAAAUUUUUUUCGAAAAUAUUUAAAAUUUUUCAACACUGCAGGGGUCACACGGCUGUGUGGCCAAGCCGUGUGGUUCAGACAAUACUCAUGAAACUAUAUACAUCAAUUUACAAGGUGAAAAAAAUCCUCAGCAUCACUUAUACAUAUCAUCUCUAGCUUAGUAAGAUUUUAAAUAAUUUUAACUCUUCCUAGUUUCUUUAUUUUCAUAUGUAUCUCUUUACUUUCCACACUCAUUCCUUAUGUAUAACACACCGGUCAUAAGCAUACUAUACCAUUAUAACCACAAGCUAGUGCAGUUGAACAUAACUCUUUUCAAUUAAUCAUAUGAUAAGCCAUUUCAUAAGAUAUUGCGUAUCUUAAAACUUGUCACUCUCUCACGAUCACAAGUAUAUUUUCAUUUGAGCACUUUCCCUUUUAACACAUCAUAUAAAUAAACAUAUUACAAUUUAACCAAUAGCUUGGCACUUGUCUAAGCAUCAACAGUAACACUUGUUAGCAUGCUUAAACAUAUUCAUAUAAAUUCAACAUAGAUAAACUUAUUUUCUCAUCAUAUUACACUUGAGUUUAUUGCUCAUCUCAACAUACAUAAUUUCCUUGUAGCAACAUAUCAAAGAUAAUCACAUUUUUACAUGUCAUGAUACCUAUCAUUCUUUUGCUGUUUCUUUAUAAACAUAUAUCAUUCACUUCAUUAUAUCAAUAUUUCACGCACCAUCCUUUCCAUAUAUUUCAGGUAUGUACCUGUGAUAAUUCAUUUCAAACUCAUGUUAUCUCAUAUCAGAACUUUACCCAUUGAAUCAUUUAAAUAUCAAUGGUACACUUAUUUUAGAUCAAUAAUGUAACGCCCCCUUACCCGAGACCAUCGCCGGAGUCGAGCACAAGGCAUUACUAAACUUAUUUGAGCACUUAAACAAAUUCAGACAAUUUAUAUCAUACUUUUUAGACAAGCUAUCCAACUGCAUUAUAGUCGCUAAAAAAAUCAUAUCUCAAGUUACAAAACUCGAAAUCCAAAUCUAUAAAUUUUUCCUGAAUCUAGACUCAUAUAUCUACUUACUAAUUUUUUUCUAGAAUUUUUGGUUGGGAAAAUUAUUACAUUUUAUUAGUUAAAGUCUUCCCUGCUUUAGGGUUUGGCUGCUCUGACCCCUAUGCACUACGAAUCAAAUUUAUCCCUCUACAGAAUUCAAAUAACCAUUCCAUUUGUUUCUCUUAAAAAUAGACUCAAUAAGGAAUCCAUACAUAUACAGUAUGACUCUUAAUUAUUUUUGUAAAUUUUUUAAUGAUUUUUACAAAUCAGAAUAGGGGAGCUCAAAAUCAUUCUGACCUUAUCUCACAAAAAUUCAAAUAUCUCCUGAUAUGAAAGUCUUUUGCUUACACUGUUUCUUCUAUAUGAAACUAGAUUCAAUAAGAUUUAAUUUCAUAUUUUAUUCAACCUCUAAUUAGAUUUUAAUAAUUUAUGGUGAAUUUUCAAAAUCAAACUACUACUACUAACCAUAAACUGUUUUAGUACAAAAUAUUGUUAACUAGUUUAUAACAUCUUUACUUGAAUGCAUUUAAACUCUAUACAUGCCAUAUAAAUCUUUAAACAUAAAACAAAAGCUACCAGAAUUGAUUUGGAUAGUUUGCUUUGUUGUGUUGAUCCGAUCUACCAACUUCACUUCAAUUCAAUCUACAUAAAAAUAUCAAACAUACACAAGUAAGCUUAUUGAAGCUUAGUAAGUUCAUAGGUUUAAAAGUAAUGCUUAUCAAACAUAAUAUUUCCAAACAAUACCAAAACAUUUACUAAAGUUUCCUGUCAUUCACAACCACUGUUAUAAUACUUCACAUAGUUGAACUCAACAUUAACAACUACUCAAUCUCUUUCAUUUGGUUCACUUCUCUUGUAUUUCUUAUUAUCAAAUUAUGAAACGGCAUACGAAAUUGAGUACGUUGUUGUUCAGUGUCACGAUUCAUAACUCAGUAUGAUUUUCCUCAUUGAAAUACCAUACCUACAUUUUACAACUCGGUAUGGGAAAUGCCAUACUUACAUUUUUUAACUCAGUAUGGAUUUGAUAAUACCAUACCUACAUUUCACAACUCAGUAUGGAUGAUACCAUACCUACAUUUCACACUUUUCCAUGGAACAACCAUGAUCUUAUCCGUCAAUUCAUCACACGUCACGAUACGAACGUACUCAGUCCUGCGUUUUUCCUAAUUUGCAUUUCUACAUUUAUUCUUUCCUUAACAAAAUUUACACAAUCCCACAACAAAUUCAUAUAUAAUAACACAUUAUAUACUUCAAUCAUUCACAAAUAAACAUCUAAAUUCAACCAUAUGAACUUACCCGGCUAAUUUGUAGAAGAUAUUGAAAUUUAGGGACUAUUCCGCAACUUUUUCUUUUCCUCGCUCUCCUUUGGAUUCCUAAUCUAUAAAAUAAAAUAUUUUCACUCAUUAGCAUUUAUUUGAUUUAUAUUUCAAUUCACAAUUUAUGCUCUUCAACUUUCAAAAUUUCACUUUUACCCCAAAAUUUUCAAUUUUACAAUUUAGUCCCUGCUCAAUUCACCCAUCAAUUGAACCAAUUUUUCUCAAUUAACCCUUCAUUUUAUCAUUAUAAACUAUUUCAAAACCUUUGAAAUUCUUAAUUUCAACACCAACCUUCAAUUCACAACUUUUUUCACAAUUAGGUCCUAAAUACCAUUUUCUAUCAAAAUCACUUAAUAAAACCACCUUACUAUGAAAGUAGAACUUAAAUUUCAUAAUAAUUCAUCAUAAACUUCCCUUACCCAUCCAAGGUAACUUCAAAUUUCCCCCAUAAAAUCAAAAACUAAUGAAUUAUAUAAGUGGACCUAAUUGUAAAAAUCAUAAAAACAUAAAAAUUAUCAAGAAAAAGCAAGAAUUAAACUCACAUGAUGUAAAAAUAUGAAAAAAUAGCUUUCUCAAGACCUUCUAUAGCGUUUUUGCUGAGAAAAUAUGAAGAGAUCUUUAGAUUUUUCAAAUUUGUCCUUAUUUUAUAUGUUAAAAUUGUUAAAUUUCCAAUUUUACCCUUAUUUCCCUUAUUUUUCUGCUGAUUUUCUUGCCCUUGCCAUCCAACCUAUUCACUUUUAGGCUUAAUUUCCCUUUAUAUCCUCUUUAUUUUAACACUUGAGCUAUUUAAUCCUUCUAGCAAAUUUUGCAUUUGUUACAAUUUAAUCUUUUUUUAUUUAAUUGACUACCCAAACGUUAAAAUUUCUCAACCAAACUUUAAUACUAGCUAAAUGACACUUCAUAAAUAUUUAUAAAAAUAUUUAUAGCUCAAUUUUCAAAUUUGAGGUCUCAAUACCUCGUUUUUGACCCGUUUGACCUAAUAAAUUCUUUUAAUUCACCAAAUUCACCAAUUCACAUAUUCUUCUAAAUUCUUACUUGACUUAUAAAUGUUUAAUUACUAUCUUAUUCAAUCUUACUUGUCGGAUUUAGUGAUCUCAAAUCACCAUUUCUGACACCACUGAAAAUUAGGCCGUUACAAAUAUUAAUAAUAACCAUAAGUCUUCCAAUACUACUUUCAUAUGUCACUUACCAAUCUUUGUCAAAUUAGAGAACGUCUUUGCGGAUUUGAGUCCAUCGUUUGCUCAGUGCCACCAUUCACAACUCAAUAUGGAAACACCAUACCUAUGUUUCACAGCUCGGUAUGGAAAUACCAUACUUACGUUUCACACUUUGCCAUGGAUCAACCAUGGUCUUAUUCUUCAAUUCAUCACUGAUCACUGAACACUUUGCUAUGUUUGGCACACUAUAUCACUUUGCCAUGAUUGAGACACUUUAUCACUUUGCCAUGAUUGACACACUUUAUCACUUUGCUAUAGUUCAACAAUGGACUUGCACUUCCACACUUUUCACUUGUCACUGAUCAGAUAAGUGUAGCUAAGCUACCACUUAUCACUUGUCACUUGUAGUCGAAGCUACCACUAUUCACUGAUCAGGUAGCUGGAGCUACCACUUUUCACUAAUCAAGUAGCCGAAGCUACUACUUUUCACUGAUCAGGUAGCAGCUACCACUUUUCACUGAUCAGGUAGCCGAAGCUACCACUUUUCACAUUAUACACACAAGGUGUACAUUUCCUUUUCAAGUGUACACACAAAGUGUACGUUUCCUUUUUAAGUUGUACACACACAAUGUACAUUUCCUUUUCCAGUUAUACCUUUUAGGUACAUGUAUCCUUUUCAAGUGUCACCCUUUCAGGUGAAAUUCCUUUUUAUAAUGAGAUCAUAAGAUUACUUUUCCAGUUGUACCUUUUAGGUACAUGUAUCCUUUUCAAGUGUCACCCUUUCAGGUGAAAUUCCUUUUUAUAAUGAGAUCAUAAGAUUACUCCCUUCGGAAUAACCUUUACUGCAACACAUGCAAGACCUCAUUUAUAAGGGUAAUCACUUGUCCAAUUGGAAUUCAAUAUUCGAACGGAUUCUUGUACCCUUUUUAUCAAUUACAUAUAUCAUAUGUUAACAUUUUCAUGCUACAUAUUCAUGUCAUUUACAUAUCAUAAUUCUCACAAGUCAAUAAUCAAAACAAUACAUUUUCAUACUUAAUUAAGUUAUAUGAGCUUACCUGGCUAAAUUACAGAAAUAUCAAGAUUUAGGGGUAUUUUGGUAAUUUUUUUAUUUUUCUCGAUUUUUCACCUGAUCUUGAUCUAAAUUAAUAAUUUCAUUCAAUUAUUAAUUUAAACGCUAAAAAAAUUCAUUUUCUUCAAUUUUUACAAAAUUACCCCUAAAAUUUUACUCUUAUUCAAUUUAGUCCAUGAACCCAAAACAUCAAAUUAGCCAUGCUAGCUGAAUAUUCAUACAUGUUUUCCUCCUCCUCCUCUCCAUUCUACAUCCUUAAUUUACAUAACUUGCUAUAAAUAACAUUAUCAAUAAUUUCACUAUUUACUUAUAUGUAUGUUCAAAACUGUCCAUUUGAGUUAUGUCACUAAAUUAUUUAUAUCUUGAGCUACAGAACUCAAAAUUAAGAUUUGCUAAUUUUUCUUGAAACUAGACUUACAUAUCUUCUUACCAUAAAAUUUUCAGAAUUUUUUAUUUAUCCAAUAAGUACAGUUUAUUCUUUAAAGUCGCCUCUAUUCUGCUGUCUAACAGUUCUGACCCUUCUUCACUAAAAAUUAAUUAUCUCCUAGUACAGGAUUCGAAUGAUGUUCUAGUUUAUUUCUAUUGAAAAUAGACUCAUUCAUAAUUCUAAAAAUAUCAAUUUAAGCCCCUAAUUAUUUUUAUCCAAUUUUUUAUGAUUUUCCAAAGUCAGAAUAGGGGAACCCAAAAUCAAUCUGACCUUGUCUAACUAAAUUUGUUAUAUCUCACAAUUUACUAUUUCAUUACUUACACCAUUUAUUCUAUGGAAAACUAGACUCAGUAAACUUUAAUUUCAUAUUUUAUUAAACUUCUAAUUCAAUUUCCAAAAUUUUUUGUGAUUUUUCAAAGUUAGACCACUACUGCUAUCCAAAACUGUUUUAGUGCAAGAUAUUAAUUACCAUGUUUAUAACACCCUUAUUUUCUUUCUCUACACUAUUUCUCAUCACUUUCUCUUUUUUUCUCUUCACAACAUAUCAAGAACAUAGGACCAUAUGUAAGGAAACUCUACAUUAACAUCAAUCCUAAGCUUUUUCAAAAAUAUCAAACUUAAAAAUAUAUUGAUAUCAUAAUGUUCUUACCUUGUUCAAAUCUUCAUAUUGAUUUUCUCUCUCCUCCAACUUCUAUUCCUUAAAUCUAAUUUGAUAUUCUGACUCCCCAUAGUCUCCUUAACAUUUUUCUCUCUUGGUAGCUAUGGAAAUCCUUUUGAUUUUUAGGUGAAAAUAGUAAAUUUUUGGUGGAAGGACUAAAUUGUAAAGAAAAGAAAAUUUUCUUUCUUUUCUUCUCUACUAAAGUUUGCAUGUAUGAAAUGGAAAGAUGAUGAGAAUUCUUCAUCUUUCCUUCCUUAUAUACUAAAUAAAUAAUAAAAAAAUAAUAAUAAAUAUCUCAUCAAAAUAUUAAUAAAAUAAUAUUUAUCUAAUUAAUUAAUUUAAAAUAUCAUCAACAUAAUCAUUACGUUCUAGAAUUCUUUCUCUUACUAAUUGACCAUUUUGCCCUUCAUGAUCUUUUAGAAUUCCAUCCUUGAGUCAUCACUUAAUUUGGUAAAAUUGCCAUUUAGUCCCUCAUAAUUUUUCACCUAUUCAAUUUGGUCCUAAUUCAUCCAUUUUCCUUAAUUUCUAGAUCAUUCCACCCUUAAAAUAUUUUCACUAUUGGUCUUUCAACUUUUUCGUAUUUACACUUUAGCCUCUCAAAUUUUGAGUAUUUACUCUGUGCAACAAGACUUUUCUCAUCUUUACAAUUUAGUCCUUUCUUGAAUUAAUAUAUCAUAAUAUACUUCCCAAGGUUGACACAACUCAAAAUUUUCCUUUUUGUCACUUUAUUUUCUUAUUUUACUAUAUCAAGGAUAAUAUCUUACUGUAAAAAUUUUCGGGGUAUUACAAAAAUAAGUUGAGAGAAUUUUAGAGAGAGCUUUGAGAGUUAGAAUUUCAAAAUGCCAAAAGUCUCUUCACUAGUUGUGAAGGGCUCAUAUUUGUAGAUUUUAGAAAAUGAGAGUUACAAGCUAGGUAAUUAAUAUGAGUAAAGAAAUUAAUUUUUAGUUAUAAUGGAUGGUGAAACGUUUUGUUGUUGAUAGUGAUGAUAAAUAGUGAAGAAUAGCUCACCAUGCUUCUGAAAGAAGAGAAAUGCACUUAAUGUUACAAGAAAAGCUAAGACGAAACCUUUUACCCACCUACAUAUCUAAUCCACAAAGCCAAGCUCUUCAAAACAUCCCAAGAGUGAAGACAACCCAAAAACCUUUCCAUAUUUUGGGGUUAUUUUCACUUCUUCUACUUCAAUAAAGUGGUAUUUUGUAAAAUAUCUUUAGUAGAACAUCUCUUGAACUACAAGAUUAUGGUUGUUUUUGGAUGAGAAUUGUUUCUAAAUAAUGGUUUUUUGACUUGUUCCAAACGUGAGUUAUUGUCGUUAUCAAUAUAGGGGUUGUUCCGAACAAGAAUUGUUUCUACAGUUAUGCUUUUCUUGAUAAAGAUUGUUCUGAAUAAUAACUCUUUCAACAAAACACAAGUAUUCUAAAUACAAGUUGUUUCGAAUAAUGGUUGUUCUAAACAUAACUAUUCCUAAAAUGUCAUUUUUCUAAGCAAGAGUUAUUUCGAACUUUAAUUGCUCUCAAAUAAGAACUACAUCAGAUAACCGUUAUUCUAACUAAAAUCUUGUUCUAAACAUAGUUAAUCAGCAUAUAACUAGAACAACAAUUGUUCUGCACAAUACUAUUCUUACAUGUAUUGUAUGGAUUUCAGUUAAUUUUUAUGUCAAAAUUCUUUUUAAUAUCCUAAACAUUAAGCAAUAAGUUUUGUUAAUAGGAUUAAAAAAAAAGUAUUUUCUGCCAAAACCAAUUUCUUUUCUUUAGAAAAGAAAAAUGAAUGGCUACAAAUAAGGGAUUAGAUAUUGGACUUUGGAUAUCUAUAAUUCAAAUGUAAAUUAGAAUAAUGAUAUUAAAAGGUAUAAAUAAAAUGGGUUUGAAUAUUAUAUAAUUAAAUGAACUUAUGUUUGAAUAUUUAAAAUACUAUAUCCCCAUCACCUUACAUAUCUUUUUUUUCUUCACUUAAUUAAAUUAUUUUUUAAAUUAAAUUAUCUUUUGUUUACUUGUUUGAAUUUUGAGAUGAAAAUAAAUAAAUAUAGAUUACUUAUAUUUUCAAUAUCUAUAACUCGAAUGUAAAUUUAGAUAAUAAUAUUUUGAAUAAUAAAUAUAUAUUUGAAGGUAAUUGAAAUAAUAAAUAUAUAAUACAUGAAAUUUAUAUUUGAAUACUUAAAAGAGAUUAAAAUGUGUUUGCACAUUCAGAAUUUAAUUAUAUUAUUUUUAUUUUUAAGAAUUUUGUACAUUUAUUUUCAAAUUUUAAAUUUUAAGUCUAAUUGUUAACAACAAUUUUGGUCUACGAAAUUCGAGAAAACGAGUCUGGGAGUCGGUUACGUACGAGAAAGGGUUCGCACCCUCGUAAUGCCCAAAAUUGAUACCUAAUUGAUUAAUUAAUGUCUUAAUGUCGAAAGUUGAAAACUUAAAAAGAAUUUAAAAUAUGAUCUUUUUUUAUUAAUGUUGGUAAAAAAUGCUUGAAUAAAUUGAAACGAGCAUUAAAGGCCCACUCGUCUCAAGAUAACAAAAUGUCACAUCCAGUAAGUUAGGACACGACAUUUGAACCCUCGAAAAUAAGCUUGCCUUUUAAUCGUUUUAUUUUAAAAUUUAUACUUUGAUUUUUAAAAGAGUAUUAGAUUGUUUAAAUCCAACGAGAAAAAAUCGAAACCCCGUAAAUUGGGACACGACCAUUCUCUAGUUUCAAAAUGCGAAAUAACACCUUUGUUUUUUUAUUUAAAAUUCAUGUAUUUAAAAAAUUUAAAGGGAUAUUUGUCUAUUUAGGUUCGACGAGAAAAUCGAAACCCUGUAAGUUAGAUUAUGUUUUCUCGAAUCUCCAAAAUACCGGACAUUGCUUAUAUUGAAAUUUUUCCUUUUUAAAAAAAAUACCGAAUGCAAUAUUUGAAUGAUGUGUACUUCUCUUAUUUGGGGUGUAGUGUAAAACUGACCUAUAGAUUUAAAAAUAAUGCGUCAUGUAAUGACGAUGAAAUAAUAUGAAAAUAGAUAUACGGGUAGAAUAUUAGGAUGAUAAAUAACAAAUAAAUAAAUGAAUAUCAUGGUAGUAACAACAUGAAUGUAAUAGUAAUGCGAGCAUCAAUUUAAGGCAUCAACAACCAAGCAAAUGAAAUAACUCAAAAUAAAUAAGAGGAUGAAAAUAAAAGAUACUUGAUGAAAAGUAAAUAUAAAUAAAAUCCAAUUAAAACAUUUUUAAAAAAAGAGUGCUAGAAUAAUAAAUAAAUAAAAUAAAUAAACAGAUAAUGUGAUAUAAAUAAUAUUAAAUUUAAAUAUUUUUAAAGUAAAAGGAUUAUAAAUAAAUAAAUGAAUUGAUAAAUCAAGUCUAAACAUAAAACAAGUAAUGAAUAAAUAGAUAGGUAAAUAUAAUAUAUAAAUAUUAUCUAAAUUUAGUAUUUAAAAGGAAACAGACAAAUAAAAAUAAAUAAAUAACGAAAUUAAUCAAACCUGGAUUAAAUCGAAAUUAAAAUAAAUUUCAAAGGGAAAAAUCAGAGUAAAAAUAAAAUAUCAGGCCCAAAUUGUGACACGCAAAUGAAAUGGGGGGCCAGAUGGGAUAAUAUCCCCGUCUCCCAAAACGCAUAACCUCAAUAUGGACUGUAAUGAAACACUACAAAAAUUACCGGGUAAAAUUAAAAGAAAAAAAGAACCGAAUCGCAACAGGCUAUAAAAGCGGAGCGCCUGGAUUUGCAAAUAACCCGUCAAAGUGAAAACACGCAGAUCCUCUCCAGGAGGGUCAAGUCGCUGGUUAACCCCCCCAAAACGACAUCGUUUUGGCGUCUGGGGGGCCAGAUGAAACUACGUCGUUUCAUGGGUACUAUUUAAGCCCAAAUUUUUUUAAAAUUUCAUUUUCAACCUUCCCCUUUUAAAAAAAACUAAAAAAAAACCCUCAAACUCUCUCACUUUCUCCCUUUCUCCAGUGAUUGGGCCACCGUCCAUCCGCUAUGGCCGACGGCGGCGGUGGAGUCCAAAAAGAAUGGUUUUUUUCCCCACCUUAAGUCCCGAUUUAAGGUCAAAACACCCAAAAACCACCGAUUUUACAAGAAAAGGGAAAUAAAUGAGAAAAAAUGAGGGACCUUUCGGUUCCCUUGUGCCACCGGCGGGGGUUUUCAGCGAGCCCAUUGCCUCGGCCACCUACGGCGGCGCAAAACGCAAGAAAAGAUGAGUUUUUGGCUUCUUUUUUACUCUUUUUUCAUUUCUUUCAAAACUAAAAACAAAAAUCAAAUGAGAAGAAAAAAAAUAUAUAUAUAUAUAAUAAAAUAAAAAGGUAACCUUUAAUAUGUUAAAUGUUUCUCUUUGUAUUUCGAAAUCGUGUGUUCGUAAAAAAAUUAUAAAGAGGCUAUUGCGAUUUUUAUAACCGAUUUACAACACUAUUUGUUUCUAUUAUUUUGUUUUUUUUCUGUGUUGUCCUGCUUGUUGUGUUUCUUGCUGUUGCGUGUUGCAGGUGUCGAUGACAAUGGCUAACGGUGGUGGCAAAGACGCUUGCGAGGAGGGGCGCCAACGUGGCAUGCGGCUAGGGUUUUCCCUCUUUCUUUUUUUUGGCUGAAAAUUAGUUUAGGUAGUGGGCUUUUAGGCCGUCUAGGGUUUUUAGGUUUUGGGCUACAUUGGGCCUUUGUAAUUUUGGACUGGUAAUUUUGGACUGUUUUAAUUUAUUUGUAUUUUGUUUUUUUUAGUAUUUUGAUUUCUGCUUAUUGGGCCCGGGCAGAUUUGGCCCGUUACAAAUAUAUGUUAUUUUUUUAAAAGAAAAUUAAAGACAUAAGUCAAAAUUUUGAUAAUUUAGCGUGAUUAUUUAAGGAAAUAAAUCGAUUUUUUUAUAGAUAUGAUAAAAAUAUUCCUGAAAAAAAUAUUUCUACAAAGUGCAUCUUCUUUUUUCAUUCAUCCUUGCAACCACAUUUGUUUUUUUUAUUUAAUAUUGUUUUAAGUUUUUUUUAAAAUUUUUAAUAUUUAGUUAAUGUUUUAAUUAAUAAAAAUGUUAUUUUCAAGUUAUUUUGUUUUAUUUUUAAUUAAUAAUUAUUUUAUUUAUAUAAAUAAACUAAUAAAUAUGUAACUAUAUAAUUAAAAUAUAUUUUAUAUAUUUCAUUAGGUUAAAAAUAUGUUUUAAUUAAUAAAUAUUUUAUUUAAAUAAACAAAAUAAUAAAUAUAUAGUUAUGAUAUAGAAAUCGAAAUUAGGACUUGCUUAACCAUAUGACUAGAGAAACUAACAUGUCAAAAGAAUGUGCUUUCUGUAGAGAACGUUUUUUCCAUGACAUGUUUUUGUCACAUCAACAAAAAAUUGAUUUAUUUUACUAAAUAAUCAAUAUUUUGACCUAAUAUUUUUAGUUUUUUUUCUUGAAAUCCAUAUAUUUCAUUCAAAAUAUUUGAAUAUAAAAUUUUAUUUAAAAAUAUACAACCCAACAAAACAUGUGUACAAAAAAUCAAAAUUCAGAAAAUGUUGCAGAGCGUGUGAAUGAGGUUGCAAUGUGUGUGAAAGAGAGAAGUUUUAUUCGGAAAACAAAUGGGCCCUAAACACAGAUUGGUCAACUGAACAUACAAGGAUGCAAUGGUGAAGCAUCAAACACCUGUCACUGAAAUUGCAAGUAAACUUUUGACAACAGACAUAAUGAACAUAGACAGUUUGGGAAGUAGACAAAAUUAGAUACAUACAUCAGGAACAAUGAACACUGACAUGGAUUCGGAUGAAAAUUUUAAAACCAACUUAUCUUUUUAGGAAAGUAGUUCCUCCUUUUGUGACGUCCACUCUUCUGGAUUUCGAAUGAACAGUGACAUGGAUUCGGAUGAAAAUUUUAAAACCAACUUAUCUUUUUAGGAAAGUAGUUCCUACUUUUGUGACGUCCACUCUUCUGGAUUUCGACUUUCAUAUCGUUUUAGGAAAGCUAUCAUUAACCCAAGUGUGGUGUCAUUUCAAAUCUCUCGUCCAUUUUUGGUUUUUUUUAGACCGCUUCAUCAUUCAACUCAAAUAUAUUAAAUAAACCUAUAGUGAUGUUUAUCUUCGCUUCAACGUGAAGAAAUCUAUCAACUUAUUCUUGUCUACACCUGAAUAUAUAUGUACAAUAAUGUUUUUGGCCUCAGUUUUUGGCAAUUGUCCACUGCAAAAACUUCUGAACACUGUCAAGCCCGCAAAGCUCCUUGACCACAGGCAUGGUGGCAGGUGCCUCUAAUUGGACUAAUGUUGAGCUAGCCUCGUUUGGGCCACUCCACGAAACAAGUUGCCGUCUGGCUUCUGUUAUAGCUGCUCUUGUUGUACAGUGAACUGAAACUGCUAGCGUUAAUGGCGGCUCCCCAGAAGCUGCAAAGGUAAAACAAAAAUAGUACAGAUUUGCAGUUUAGCAUUGCAGUUACAUAAUCGUCUAUUUGUUCAGUGGAGUUCUAUAUUUACUAUGAUUAACCUUAGAACAUGGAGAAAAAAGAACCCAAACUUGCCUUUUGAAGAAAGAACGCGGUUUUUAUGAUUCCCACUGUUGAAGAUUUCAACAUUGAAUUGUUUAGGAAUGGUGUCCACCGUGGGGAUCUUGUAAGUCCAUGUGUUAUUUAUAAUCACUAAUCCAUCUGAAUUUGUGUUGUAUUCCUCAAGCAUAAAGAACCCAAUUCCUUGAACAUAAGCUCCUUCAAUCUGUAAUAACCACCACCCAAAAAAAGAGUUUAAUUUCUUUACUAUCACAUGAGUAUGAUCAAUGAACUUGUUACUAACUUUCUGACAGUUCUAAACAAAUUCUUAAACUAUAUAUCAUACAAAGGACUGUAUCCCGGCUAACCUGUCCUAAAUCGACAGCAGGAUUUAGGCUUUCACCAUAGUCAUAUAUGAUAUCUGUCUGUAGAAUUGUAGUUUCGCCUGUUAUAAGGUUUACCUCCACCUGCAGAAUCAAAUGUUUGAAAGUGAUAACUAUGAAAUCAACCCAAGCCUAUGCCAUAUAUCAUGACUAUUAUCAUGUUCAUUGGCUUAAAUCUGAAUGUAGUUUGAUAAGAACUGCAUUGCUUGUAAAUACAAGCAUGGAACAGAAAGCGAAAUAGAGAAUAUCGAAAAAAAAGACUUGCCUCGCUCACAGCUGCAGCAUAGUUUAGGUAGUGCAUGGUGGAGAAGUUCGGUACAUAUAGUGAACUUGCUGAUAAGUUUACAGAGUUGCGAUAUGCCUGCAUACAGGAGAUGAAAAAAGUGAAACCGUGACUGUUAUCACCUCAUGAAAAUGUCAAAAAAAGAAUUGGAAAUGGGUACCUCAAGGAUCAGCGUCUCCCACUCUAAGGAUCUAAUUUGCUCCAUCAACCUUUGCUUGAGAGGGACAAGCCUUUCAACCAACACUUUACAGCAAAGUCGUACUGCUUCACAGCUUGACACCGAUGUCGUACUUCCCGCAGUCAUACCACCUUGAAUCACACUCAAAGUAUCAGCUUCUAUGACCCUUACUUUCUCCAAAAGAUCUUGUGUUCCACCACAUUUAACCAAACCAAGACCAUAUGCAGUCAUUUGUUUUACUUUCGUCCAAAGACCCUGCCCCAUUUCGAUUCCUCCAACCUCGACCACAAUCGAUCCAUCACGUAGGAUGCUUACUUUCCCCGGUGUUGAUCUCAUCUUCACUUCGUGGACAAUAGGCACCCUUGAAAUACCUCUCUUCUUCCAUUUAUGGCACCUAUUGAAUUCUUUAACCAUUUUGGUCCUAUGGUAAAAGCUCGAAGUACUGGCCAACUUAUCCCAUAUUGAAGGUAACGUAUACUCUAAUGGUUCUCCUACGGCACUCGCAAAGAAUAAGUUGAGGCUGUUGUGAGUGUGGAGAUUAAUAUUUCGAAUAGAAUCAACAUCCAUAGAAAAGGUCGAUGCAAUAUGUUCAAUUACAACUUCAGCUAUGUACGAGGCCUGCACAUCUCCAGGGGCUCUCAUCGCUGCUCGGCUUGGAAGAUUCGUUUUGCAAAGUUUUAUAUCGAAAGAUAAAGCACCCCAAUCAUAUUUUUUAAGUGACCCUAGCAUAUGAUCUGACAAUAUUGGACUUACAUCGACAAACAUCCCUGAAUCAAUCAAUAUAUCAAGUUUCAGGGCUGUAAUCUUUCCGGUACUUUUGAAUCCCACAUUGUAUGUUAUUUUCAUCGGAUGCCUUCCUCCUGACAUUAUCAUAUCAGUCUUCCUAUCCAUAUAAAUUCGGACCGGACGGUUUAACUUGUAAGCAGCUACAGCACAUGCUGAUGCAACCUAUCAAUAUAAGGACAAAAAAAAUAGGAUAUAAGGAAUCACCGUGACUUAUUCAAUUAGAUAAAUUGUAAUGAACCUUUGGGAUUUACUUUCUUUUUUGCUAUAAUAUGAAGAAUUUAGUAGAGAUGAUAAAAAAAUAAGUAUAAAAGAAGGAAAAGGAGCAUACUGCUAUGGAUUUUACAGCCUUUCCACCAAAUCCUCCUCCAAGCCUUCUAGUUUUUACACGAACAUUAUGGGCAGGAACACCGAGGCAUCUAGCUAUAGUAUCAUGAGCAAAUUCGGGGCAUUGAAUAGAACUAUAUACUUCCAUGCAGUUGUCCCCAUCCGGAACGGCAAUAGCAGUUUGUGUCUCCAUAUAGAAAUAGUAUUGCGACCCAAGUUUGAUCUAGAUGUAACAAUUUAAUUGAAAACAUUAACAUGCUUUCCAUGAUAAAAGUUUAUGAUUAGAUCCCUAGUAAGUGAUGA